rnacentral:rRNA from 1 species
ACGCUCGACACCUACGGGAGGCAGCAGUGGGGAAUAUUGCACAAUGGGGGAAACCCUGAUGCAGCGACGCCGCGUGAAGGAUGAAGUAUUUCGGUAUGUAAACUUCUAUCAGCAGGGAAGAAAGUGACGGUACCUGACUAAGAAGCCCCGGCUAACUACGNGCCAGCAGCUGCGGUAAUCUGAGCGGGCUGGCAAGGC